rnacentral:piRNA from 1 species
UGCCAAUGUACAGAUGAGAUGGCAGUUGG